rnacentral:rRNA from 1 species
AUUGAACGCUGGCGGCAGGCCUAACACAUGCAAGUCGAGCGGGAACUUCGGUUCUAGCGGCGGACGGGUGAGUAAUGCGUAGGAAGCUACCCGACAGAGGGGGAUACCAGUUGGAAACGACUGUUAAUACCGCAUAAUGUCUACGGACCAAAGUGUGGGACCUUCGGGCCACAUGCUGUCGGAUGCGCCUACGUGGGAUUAGCUAGUUGGUGAGGUAAUGGCUCACCAAGGCGACGAUCCCUAGGUGGUUUGAGAGGAUGAUCAGCCACACUGGAACGGGGCCACGGUCCAGACUCCUACGGGAGGCAGCAGUGGGGAAUAUUGGACAAUGGGCGAAAGCCUGAUCCAGCCAUGCCGCGUGUGUGAAGAAGGCCUUCGGGUUGUAAAGCACUUUCAGUAGGGAGGAAGAGUUGAGUGUUAAUAGUACUCAGCUUUGACGUUACCUACAGAAGAAGCACCGGCUAACUCUGUGCCAGCAGCCGCCGUAAAAC